rnacentral:tRNA from 1 species
CGGAAAUAGCUCAGCGGUAGAGCAUCGGCUUCCCAAGCCGAGGGUCGCGGGUCCGAAUCCCGUUUUCCG